rnacentral:lncRNA from 1 species
AUGUCUUUUUGCUCACGAACAGGUUUGAUGAAGUGUGUCUGUGCCUGGUGUGGGAAGGAUCCCCCCCACCCCUGCCCACGCAGCCCGGGCAGAAGGAGCUACGCGGGGCAGUGUCUGUGCUCCUGCCCACACCCUCUGCUCAGAGCCAGGAUUCAAAAUGUUCCCACCCCAUGGCAGAGGGGCGCCCGUGGAACCCUCGGGAAGAAACCAGAGCCGGCUGGUGUCAGCUCCCGCUGGUGUCAGCUGGCCCCCUGCUGGGCACAUCCCUGCUUCCCUCCCACCUCCUCACCAUCUGAGGCUCCCUCCACCACCUACUGUCGUAAGGACUUGUCGGGAUUUGGACAGUCAGCCUCCGCUAAGUGAAGACGGACCUGGCAGGUCCCUGAGCAGCCUGGCCCUGGACCCGGGCCCCGUGGUAGAUGCUCCUUGAUUUGCUGAGUAAGUGAAGGGUCAGGGAAUCAUGAGUGAUUUUCAUCUUAACCUUUAUGUUUUCCGAUUUUCUGUAAAGAAGGCAUUUUUUACCAAAAAUAAUAAUAAUAAAUGUUGCCUUUAUUUAUUUUUAUUUUUUUAUUAUUAUUUUUUAAUGUUGCCUUUAAAAGUAAAUGUGUGUGCAGCAACAGAGACUCUCAUUCAUUGCAGGGGGGGAUGUGAAAUGCUACAGCCGCUUGGGAAGACAGCUUGGUGGCGUCUCACAAAACUAAACAUACUCUUACCCUAUGGCCCAGAGAUCAUGCUCCUUGGUAUUUACUCAAAGGAGUUGAAAACAGAGAUACCUGGGUGGCCCAUAGGUUGAGCCUUUGCCUUCGGCCUGGGGCGUGAUCCUGGAGUUCCUGGAUCGAGCCCCGCAUCGGGCUCCCCGCGUGGAGCCUGCCUCCCACUCUGCCUAUGUCUCUGCCUCUGUGUCUCUCAUGAAUAAAUAAAUAAAAUCUUUAAAAAAAAGGAGUUGAAAACAUAUGUCCAACAAAAACCUGCACAUGGGUGUGAAUAGCAGUUUCAUUCAUAAUUGCCAGAACCUGGAAGCAACCAAGACAUCCUUCAAGAAAUGAAGGGAGAGAUAACCCAGGGUUCAUCCAGACAAUGGAAUAUUACUUGGCGCUAAGAAGGAAUGAGCUAGCAAGCCAUGAAAAGACCUGGAGGAAACUUAAAUGCAAAUUACUAAGUGAAAGGAGCCAAUCUGAAAAGGCUGCUUACUGUAGGAUUCCAACAAUAGGACAUUCUGGAAAAGGCAAAACCAUGGAGACACAAUGAUCAGCGGUUGCCAGGGGUAGCGGGGAAUUUUUAGGGCAGUGAAACUACUCUGUAUGAUGUUAUAACGACGCAUAAUGUCAUUGUACAUUUGUGCAAACCCCUAGGAUGUACAACACCAAGAGUGAGCCCUAAAUGUCACCUGUGGACUCUGGGUGACAAUGAUGUGUUAGUGUAUGUCCAUUAAUUGUGACGAGUGUCGCACUCUGGUGGGGGAGGAGGUUGUCAUGUGUGGGGACUGGAGACAUAUGGGAAAUCUCUGUGCUUCCUGUUCAAUUUUGCUGUGACCCUAAAACUGCUCUAAAAAAAAUUAAGUCUACUAAAACUUUUUUUAAGCAACUAUGAGGCUCAGCGAGACUGGGUCACAGCAUGAUGGUGGCCGAGGUGGGUCCCAGGAACAGAGCUGGCUGGCGCAUGCUGUCCCCACCCAUCGGGGAGAAGCAGGCUUGCUGAGCCUGGGGCCUGGCCCUUGGAGUGGGCAGAGAGCCACCUCUGAGAAUGGGGAUGUGGAGCGGUUCCUGCUCGUCCCUGGGCCUGCCCAUGGCUCUUUGCUGCCUCGUCCAGGCUCUCUGGCACUGUCACUUUGAGUCACCAGCAGGCACAUCCCUUGCUACAGGUCAGCGGGAGACCUGACCUGAAG